rnacentral:lncRNA from 1 species
AGCUCAUUUGAUGCCAUAGUUAUGGACUUCCCAGCGGCCGAGCACAACGACAAGUGCAGCUGCAACCCCUGCAGCUGUCCAGACUGUGGCUGCAACAAUUGAACACAUACAUCUGUUAUUUCAACUAGCACAGCUAUGUGAACGCCAGUAAUAAUGUAGCUGUGUUUGAAAAAAAAAAUAGUGUCUGUUUUAUGUUCAAAACCUCUGUUCUUAGCAAGAGGUAUGUUAUGAAUAAUGUUUAUUUCUGUUCUUCACCCACAGUCAUGUAAUGUUGGUCACUUCUGUGUCCAUGGAGUUAAUGGAUAAGUUAUACUAGUACACUCUCUUCCUCUCCAUCCAUUUUCAUUUUUGUUCCAUCUCAUUCUUUAUUCAAAUCGAAUUCAUGUUUAUAGAAUCAAUGAAACAAUCUAGAUGAGCUUCAGUACUUGGGAGAAACGUUACAGUAUAGAUAUUGUCUGUAUUUGAUAAUAAUAUCCAGACUCAAAAGGUCAGGUGGAAUGACAAAGGCUUAUAAAUUGAAAUAAUAAAAACUUUCAAAAUCUUGUGGAGAAUCAGUAGGCAGCCGAGGCACACUUACAAAAGCAUUGUCUUCAAGAUCUUAUUUGCUUUACAUCAGCUAUAAGCAGCCCACAACGACCAUCGUCCCAGCAGAAUAUAAUAUCAAAUUUCGGCAAAACAAAAACUUUAAACUAAACUCGAAUGUGGCAAACCGCUUAAACAUUUGUUCAACUCAACUCAAGAUUAUAAGGAAGGGGAAAAAAAGAGGAACACUUCAAAUUAAAAUGAGAUACUCCAAGUGAAGAAAUAAAUUGGUAUUAACAUGCUAACAACUUAGUAAGUUUCCAACGUAUAAAAUAAAAUGAAAAGAAGUACAAAAUUGAAACAUUCGUCAAACAUAACUCAAUUGAGUUGUUACUUAACCAAAUUCAAACAUAAUUCAUUAGAUGGAAGAAACUACAAAUUUAACAUAUGGAAGUUAAAAUUGUAAAUGAAACAACAACCAUUUUGAAUCCAGUUUGAAUGUAAUAAACAACCAUUGAUGUUCCAAUCAAUAACUUACUCUCGCCAUAUAAAAAAUAUCUAACAAUGCUACAGAAAAGAACAAAUCUAACUGAACAAUUGCUUCAAGAUUGUUCUGUUAUGCUGGUUCUAAUCAAUGCAGUCAAAUGCCAAUUCAUUUAUUUUCAAAACGCAAGCCUAGAAAGCAUAGUUAAUCACAGACCAUAGUAUCUUCUGUCACUUUUGUCUCUCUUUUCUUGGGUAGGAAUUAGGACACAGUAUCUUCUCAAACUUCUUCAUCAAUACAAGACCAAGGGACAAUAUUAGGGACACCACUGAGGUCUAAUGCAAGGAGACCCACUCUCUCUUGUUCUUUUCACAUUGGUGGUGCAUUGUCUCAGCAGGAUGCUCAUGAAGAGCAUCAACUCAAACAUGAUUGAAGGCUUAGGUAUUAAAAACUUGGGUCUUUCAAUUAAUUUCUGGAUGGCACAAUUCUGAUAUCUUCAUCAUACUAAAAGAAAAGCUUACAAGACUAUUUGAGAUCAUCCUAUCUAUUAGCAAAGUUUGUUCUCCGGCUAAACAUGAUUGAAGCCGGUUAAUUCUUUACCACUAGCUAAUCCAAAAGUUUUGUUGAGGAAGAGCUUUAUAUUUAAAAAUAGAAAAACUGAAAGCAAUAUUGAUAUUAUAUAUGCUAAUUUGUAUAAAAUAUAUUUUAUAACCAGCAUAGAGUUGAGGAGCUCCAACUUCAUGGACCUUAACUAAAUCAACCCUUGCUUUAGCUGAAGCUUUUUGGAAAGUCAUCCACAAUUCACAAAGCCCACAUAAUCUUCUUUUCUAGGUGGCGCUUAGCAAAAAUAAUUCACCAAUUCAAUGAAUAGAAACUCUAAGCGUAUUUUAUAGGGUGAUAUUUACGUGCAGACUGAAAUACAUUUAUCUUCGUACAUCCCCUUUGAUAAAGAUAUACACACAAAAAGAUAAUUAAAACUUGCAUCACUUUUAGAGUUAAUAAUAAAGUGUUGAUUGAUAUUUUAAAUAAUUACAAAUACAACCAAAUCUAUAAAAGCUCUAUUGUUGGACGAUAUAAUUUUAUCACAAACAGACUUCGAGAACUAGAUCUAGAUUUUGUUAUAACUUCAAAUUCUCAAGUUCUUUUGUAUUGCGUUAUCUGUUAAUAGUUUAAGCCUAAAUCCUAUAUUCGUAAUUUAUGAUUCAACACUUGAGCAAUCGCACAAAGAUAGAUGUAAUCCAACAUACAUUACAUAUAUUUAUCUAUCAUGUAUGGUCAUCAUGAUGAUUCAGAAUUGAAAAGCUCUAACAGUAGGCAUGUCCAUUUACAGCUUGCCCUUUUCAAUUGGACUAGGACCAACUUAUUGUGAUUAUCUAGCUACACCUUGUGUAGGAUAAAAUUCGAGUUUAAUCAAUUCAAAUGAUUGGUUUAAUAUUACUGAAGUCUACUACUACAAGGUCCGGUUCAAAACUUCAGAUCCAACAAUUCGAGAAUUGCAUAUUUAGAGCAUAUGACAUGAUAUGGAUGCAGAAUAAAGAAGAAAUAGUAAGAAAUUUUGAAUAAUAUGAGGAAACUAAUACAGUAAGUCAAUAACAAAGGCCCGAGCCUACAAAAAUACGAAGCCAAAUUGUACUUACUGCAUUGCAGCUUUGGCUAUACCUCCUUUCUCUCACUUUAUUUCUUAAUUUUCUUUGGUAUCUGUAUCUCUCAAAUAGCUAAAUUGUAAACUAGCAGAAAAUCAAAUCUUUCAUUUUAUUAGGUUAUCAAAUUCAGACGUUGAAUCCUUCCGCCCGAAGACACUUACGAUGAGCCUCGAUCCAUUUUCCACAUGCUUCUUCACCAUGCUCCACUAUGCACUCAUCUCUAAGCUUCUUAGUAUCGGGACAAGCACAACAUAUCUUCUUUUUUGGUUUUCCAUCUGGGGUAGACUUGAUCACUGUUGACGCUUGGUCAAGUUUCGAUUCCGGCAACGCUAUGGCUGAUGAAGAAUUUACAACAGGUAAACCACCCAUGCCACAAUUUCUCAAGGAAUGCAGUCUUAAGAAAAAGGGAAGGAAAUCCUGAAAACUGCAAGCAGAAAAAUAUGAUCAUGAAGAACAUCAAAUUAUAUCAUGGUAAAUCUUACUUAAUGGGCUACUGAAUCAUAAACUAGUGGGGGUGGUGCCUCUCUAUGUACAUAAACUAAUUGAAACCAGUUGAGAUAUGCUUAGAUUUACAAAUUUCAUAUUUUACUUGAACUUGAAGAGAGUCAUCAAAUAAGAAAACAGAAGACAAGGACCUUCAAUGAAACACAUCCAAAACACCCCAACUCAACUAUACCACAAAUAAAUCAUCUGAUCUUCCUAUUUGAUUUCUCAUCAAACAACCGAUAUACUGGAAAGAUAAAAUUCCAUAGAGCCAAAAGUAAGAACCUGAAAACAAAGUAACAAUCUUGUUUGCUAAAACGGAAAAUUUUUCUUACAGGCAAAAAUUCUGGCAGCGAAACGGAGAAAACCAGUAGGGUGAACAAGAAGCAGAGAAAAAUUGGAAGCUUACUUUUUGAACCUACAGGCAGACGAUUCCCUAGAAACCCAUAGUUGAAGAAAAAAGGAAGAAUAGAGCUUUAGACAGCGUCUAAUCAAAGCAAUUCAAAGAAAUUCUAUAUCUAUACUACGGAUAAAAUUAGCCAAAAGGGAGAAUCUUUAGGUUCCUUUAUGUGCAUAUUUGAGAAAUUUUGAAAUUUUUAAGGUCACUUUUGUCCGGUGAUUUAAAGUAUGUUUGAGGGUGAUUGUUGGAGUUAUGAUUUUAGGAAAAGAAAUUUAGAUACAAUUGAUUUUGUAACAUUGAUAUUUUUUAGCAAUUAAACUACGUUUGGUUCCACAUUUUUUUAAGUGAUUUUCAAACAUUUAGAAGUGAUUUCGAAUUGUAAUGUUUAAUUCCAAAAGUGAUUUUGAACUACUAACUUACUAAAUAGGAUAUUUUAUAUUUGAAAAUUUAUAUAACUAAAUAAAAAUAAUAAUAAAUAUGCAUGACAAAAAUAAAACAAAAUUCAAAACAUAUAUCACAUUCAAUCUAGAAAUGUUUGUAUAAUUGCAAAUACUUAAACUAGAUAUUAUCUUGAAACACAAAUCAUAUAACAAAGACAACAAAACAUAAGAAAUUGCAAUAAUUUCCCACUCCUCUUCCAUCUCCCUUCCAUGGCAAGAAGUUUCACUAUCUUUAACAAAACUUAAUGUUUCUGUCAUCACUUGCUUGAUAGCUAAUGAAAGAAAUGAUGCAAUGUGAAGUGUCAGAAGUGUCACAACAACAAUCUUCACCCGUUUGUCAUUAAAAAUGAUAUAUAUGAAUAAUAAAUAAAACUUUGACAGCAAACAACUUCAAGAGGACAAAUGAACAAACAGAAAAGAAAAAGCCAGAGCCAAAAAAAUAAUAAUAAAUAAACUCUAAAACACUCAAUUUAAAAAAUGACUUCAGAAGAGAGAAUUUAUGCUGAAGUUGUUGCAGGAAAGCAAACUCCGUAUCGUUUCAACAAUUUAUCAUUUUGCAAUUCAAUAUCAAAUUUUCAAAGUUCAAUAAAUGGAAACUACAUCAUAGUUCAAUUAGAGAACCAUCAAAAGCAAAUAAAACUACGAAUAAAGCUUAAGGGUGCUUCCAAAAUUUGAAGGCAUAAGCUUGCUAUUGCACAGGACUUGAUUCUAAGAACUCAAUUCUUCAAAACCGUUCACCAACAAAACACCAGACACAACUGAACUGGGUAGGAUGAUGUGGACGAAAAAUAUCAUGAGACGAAGUACUAAUACGUUAAUAACCCAUGUUAGAGAAUUGAUUAACCCAUAUGAUAGAUUUGCAAAAACAAUCCAAGGGUUUAGAGUCCCUUGCUUGAUAGCUAAUGAAAAAAUUUCAAAGAAUAAAAGACCACGUAGACUAACUUGAUUUUUCAAUCAGGAACACAAUCAUAAACAGAGCCCACGAAAAUUGGGGCAAUUUGACUGAUUACGAGAGAACCUAAUUGGAGUAGCUCCGACGAGUUUUAUCAAACAGUUUCACAGAAUCAUAAAUUCUCCAACAAUUUCAGCAUAAAUUCUCUCUUCCGAAGUCGUCAAAUUCACGAAGCAUUUUAUCAAACAAAUUCUAGGUAGCAAUCACAAAUGGGGUUCAGUAGUUAAAGCAUAUAAAAUCAGCAUAAACACAAUAAUCAAUCCCCCCUCUUAUAAACAUUACAACAAAUGAAAAUUGAGACACGCCCACAAAAGAAUCGGAACAGCAAGACACGACCCACGUUCCAAUUUGCCACAUAGCGUUGUUAUUAGGCUAUGAAAACAAAAUCAAACAACCACUCCAUUUUUUACUUUUUUUUUCAUUGAGAAAAUCCUAAUUAAUGCUUUUCAAGCGAGAAGAAAGACGGAGCUGGAGAUUGGGAUAAUACCAGAAACAAAGGGAGAUGAAAAUAAAUGCAAAAUCACUUGAACGGAGGCCGGGGCGGCACGAGCGGAAGAAAGACAGGAGCUGCCAGCUGAACGGGAGGCAGGGGCUUCGGCUUGUAGGAGAAGAAAAGAGCGUGGGGUAGGAGUACGGUAAGUUGACGAUUAUUACCAAAAAUUUUGGUUUGGAAAAAUGGACCAAUGUGAACCCAAAAAAUAAUAAAGAGUAAAUUUUCAUAAAUACACCCAAAAAAAAUAGAUGCAAACAGAGGAAUUAGAUUCAAAAUCUAAAAUGCUCUCAUACAUCAUAAAACAUUAUAAAUAAAUUAUGUUAUAUUUAUAAUUUUUUUUUAUAAUUAACCUAUAUUUACGUCGUGGGUAAUAAAAUCAAAAAAUUUAGAAGGUCGGUAAAUCUUUUUCAUAAAUUUUAUAUUUGUCUUUAAUAUUUUCAAAGAUUCGUCAUUUCUCUUUCUUCUUUCUCAAAUUCUCUCCACUUUCAGAUUUCUUCAAUUUCUCUUAAUUUUCUUUCUUUUAUUUUUGUUCAUCUUCUCUUUCUUUCCUACAACUUCACUUUCAGAAUAUUAAGAUUGUUUAAAUAUCAUUUUAAUACGAUCUAAAUUAUCUCUUAUCCAGUCAACAUAAUCUUUUAGAUUUAAAACAUUUUUUCCAUCAUUAAAAAGAACUAUACAAUCAUGUAUAAUUUCCUACACGAUCAUGUAUAAUUUCUUAUACAAUCGCAUAUCAGGAUCGUUUAGAAGAAGAAUCACACGAAACAUUUUUUUUUCAUUGUUAAAAAAACUACACAAUCGUGUACCAUUUCCUACACGAUCGCCUAUCACGAUCAUUUUAGAAGAAAAAUUGCACGUACGCAUGUGAUUGAUUAAUCAUGUAUCGACUAUAACAUUUUUUAUAUUUUUCAUCAUGAACGUGCGAACUUUUUCCAUUUUUGUAAAUUAUCAAAAUUUAAUAAAUUUGUCAGGUGUUACUCUUAAUCUUUUACAAAACCACAAAAUAGUUUUGAACGACCAUAUUUCAUUAAUUAGUUAAUUCAAGAUAUUUAAAUAAAAGAUCCUAAUAAUUAAAUGGUUUUAAAAAAUAAUUAAAGAAAAUUGUCUCUUUCUUUUGCUUUAUUUUACCCUCAUCCAUGUCACUUUUCCUUUUAGGUUUUUUUCUUUCUUUCUUUCUUUUCAAUGAAUUGAAUGAAAGCAUAAGAAGGAUCGAGGAGAAAUCGAAUCUAACCUUAAAAUUGAUAGGAUAAGCACGUUGUUAGUUGAUAUUUCUACUACAUGCAACAACUAUGUUAAUGCAUUUGAUUUACACAUUCAUCAAUGCAUCAACAAAAAAUUACAAAUAAGUCAAAAUUCAAAGCAUCAAAAAUAAAAAUAAAAUAGUUUUGUUAUGGCAUUUCUCCAUAAUUUUUUGUGUUUCAUAUCAUCCAACAAGUUCCAUGAUCGACCAAUUGUACUACAAUGUAAUCAAGCUCUUGGAGCCUCCCCUCUUGAAUAUAUUAAUUCAAACCUUAAAUCAUUCAACCAUUGCCUCCCUUCCCUCAAUCUCCCUACCACUGUUUAUAGCGAAAUACACAGUUACUAGCUCCUUAUGCCCUUACUAAUAUCCCCAAGUCCAAGAAAUCCUGCAUUACUCAACUUCUUCAGCACCUGCACUACUCUCCCAUGAAACCUCAAUUGAAGCCAUCAAGCUAUGACUCGAUCAAGAAUUAGGAACCCUUUUACAUUCACUUACAGAACUUCACGUCCCGGGCAUUUUUCAAGCAAUGAUUCCAUACAAGAAUUAGGAACUUCUUUACAUUCACUUACAAAACUUCAUACCCCGGGCAGUUUCAGAAUUUUCCAAACUUUGGUCGGCUUCCAAAUCCUGUUUACUCACAACAAAUAAAGAAUAUUGAUCGGUGACAUUGUGAGAUUGUGAGAAUUGAGAAAGAAUAUUGAUCAUUGUUGUAAUCGUAAUGUAGUACUAAACUUAUCUUCUUACAAUACAAAGGGAACCAAAUCUCGUCUUAUAAAAAGGAGAUAGCAAACACAAUAGAAGAAAAUUCAAUGAAUGAAUUAUGACUCCAGUCCUUGAUAAAGCAAUUGAGUCAAGUUGCACGUGGUAGAAAAGGCCACAAGGGAAAAUGUUCCUACUGUUUGAAUAAAUUGUGAGGCUCUUACAGAAAUACUAGCCCCAUCAUAAUACAAUAUGCCUCUUGUUUCCUUAUCUUCUCUAACCUGUUAUGAACAUGGCCAAUGCCCCCCCCCCCCCCCCCCCCCCCCCCCCUCCAAAUCAAAUCAAAUAUUUUGAUUUGUAGCCUUACUUAUGAGUGAAUCAAGCCUUGGGUCAAUCUUUCCAUUGUAUUGCCUUUCAUUGGCAUUGAUUCGAUUGAGUCUUCCAGUCAUCAAGAAGGUUCUUCAUGGACUCUUCAAACUUCUUAGCUUGAGAUCCAGGCUUCAAGAUAUUGACAUCACUCCAUUGUGAGCAGGGAUCCAUCCACCAACUCUUCCGACCCGUGCACCAUGCUCCAGGAAGAAGUCGGUUACGACCUCGCUUCAAGAGUUCUUGAUCGACCAUGUCCAGCACAGAGUCAUCUUUAUGAAAUUCUCGAGCAAAUGCAGCUCCGCUUUCAGCCAUGACAUUGAAGUUUGAUACAUUGAGGAAAACCGGUUCCAUCUUUGGAGGAUCAUCCCAGAUCAUAAAUCUUAGAUCACUAUUAACAGUUUUGUUCUUGAACUCAUUUGAAUUGCAAAUGACAGAGUGAAAGUAUCCUUCUUCUGAUAAUACGAUGUUGUUAAAAUACAUAAGAAGCACCCGAGGAAGGUUAUCCCACCCAAGAACACAGAAUUCAAGAAAUGAUCGACUAAGGACAAACCAAGGGGAACCUGCAAAUGAUAAGGUCUUAGAUACAGUAUUCUUUAGUGAGCAGUAGAUUAAGAAGAAAACCAUAGAUAGUUAUCUAAAUUUAAAGAAUACACUAGGGACGAAACAUAAAAAGAAAAAUCAACUUAACCCGUGAAAAUUUUGAACGCAUCAGGUGUUGGCCGCUUCUCAGUAGCAUGAAAUAUUUGAGUUCUCCUUGCCAAAUACAACCCUGGAUCAACUACAAUUGGAUGAACCCUCUGACCUCUGGCAUUACCAAACACUGAUAUUAUUAUAGUUCAAUUCAAGCAAGAACAGUAUAUAAUGCUAAUGCAGAUUGGUUUUUCUUACUCUUUCCACCCAAGGUCGCUCGUGUGAUCUAUGAAAUUGAGAUCCCUACUAACAGAUGAGAAGACAUGUGAUAGAUCUGAAAGCACAUAUAAGAAAACGUUACUGUGCAAGGAAAAGGAAAGCUAUCCAUGGAAAUCAGCAAGUCGAAUAACUUUGAAGACUUCCCAGCCUAAAAGAUUUGCAUGAUUAAUAAGGCCUUUUUCAAGGUUUUUAAGGUGGCAAAUGCACUGAUGCACAAGAUGAAAGAGAAAACAAAUGGCUUGAAAGAGAUAAGAUACACAACAAAUAUCCUACAACUAGUUUUUUGAACUAACGAGUCCCAUAUAUAAGUAAUUCUUAUAAAAGUUUAAAAGAAAUCACCCACUUCAAUACAAGUCUUCUCCAAAUUUAUCAAUCACAGUGAAUAAUUAUAUAAACAAUAUCAUUGACGUUUCCUUGAAAGUGUUUUCCUCAUCUUUUCAGGUAACAUUUGAGCUUUUAGACUAGCAUACAUGUAACUCUACUGAUCUUAGGGACAGUCCCUAACCCUACAAUGUUUGAUUCAUAGAAUAUUUCAUAUACUAUUUGUAGAUGAACAACGUUGGUUUUAAUAUAUGACCUAAAUGUCACAAUGCAUCAUUACACCAUUAUUCAUCUUGGAGGUUCAAAUAGUGAAUAUCAUCAAUAUUAGCAAACAUUUCUAUGUAAUACUCAUACAAGUCAGUGAAAGUCUCUUAUGAUCCAAUGCAUUAACCUGUCCAUUCUUUGCCCCUACCCUAUUAUGGCCUCUGUAACAGUCCCACCUUUAAAGGGAAAGAGGUAAAAAUGUUCCCCAAAAGAACAACUCAAUAAAAUUGAAACUUCAAACUUGGCCAGAAAUAUUUGCUUCCUCAAAGAAAAAAUUACUAGUGAUUCUAGUCUAAGAGAAACCCUUUAUGAGACGAGAUCAAGAUAAAAUUACAAGCAGAACGGAUAUGACAUCCAAACUUGAUUAGGUAUCUAUGGAAAAAGAAAAAAAAAAGUGAACUGAAUGUUCUAGGCCUCUGGCCUCCUAUGUAGUUAAGCCCAAUACAAAGCAAUGAAGUGAAGAAGUUACUAUGACAGUGGUUCAAAUUAAGUACCCGAAAGUGCAAUCCAGUUUCUGCAUAUCACUGUAAAACCCCAAGGGCUCAAAAGGACGGUAAGAAAAAACAUCAACCUAAAAUAAUCCAUCAGUUUCCUCAUAUACAUACAUGGCGAAAGUGCUUAUAAUCUCUAACAGAGUAAUUCUAGAGGAUUAACUAUCAUAUGAAGACUUCACAGAGCAAUUGACUCAAUGAAUAGGUGUUUUCAAGGAUAAGCAUUGAAUAUCUCCCUCUGCUUGACCCAACUAAUUCAACCUUCAUUAUUUGAUCAAUUAAAAAGAGUUGGCUUCCUAUCACAAGAAACAUACAAAUACUUUUUCUUGAAUAAGAAGCCCCAAAAACAUAAAAUACAAUCCUGCAAUCUUUUAAUCAGUUAAAAAGAUCCUAAAAUUGGCUAAGCCUAUAAAAAUCCUUCAACUAGCUGUUCAACUAAGUUAACUAUAAGGCCCAAAACAAUCAUCAUAAUAUAACUAAUAAAUCGGAAAAAUCAAACAAUCAAAUAAUCAAACAAACAAACGAAACAUUAACAGCAAUCCACAAAUUUGAUAAAAAGAAAAAGGAUGUCAAGAACUAUUUUAAUGUCCCAAUUGGCGUAUGACAAUGAACACGACAAGAAACAAUUACCGAAUUGGCAUUACCAUCCUGACUGAUCAGCGGGUAAUCCCUGGCACUCAAAGUGAUAAACCAGUCCCAACCACUCUCAAGUUUCAGAAGAAUCGAAGCAGCAUGAAGAAUCGUGGCAAUGUUAGAUGACCCCAUAUAGCUGAUUCGAUUGGGCUUUCCAACAACGUCAACGUUUUCAAAGGCACGAAUAGCUGGCACCGACUUCACCGCUACGGCUAGCUGCAGCCGCUCCUCGUUGGAAGCAUCUGCCGCAAGAUGCAGAAGGUACCGGUUUCUGGGGUGGUAGACAGCAAGCAACAGCCUGAAGAGUCGGUCCUUGUCACCGCGGCCACCGGAAAUGUAAUAGGCAAAAGCAGGAGGAUAUGGAGCUCCAUGGUGAACUAUUGAGGGAAUGGAUCGCGGAGAACUGAAGGCAGAAAUGGAAGAGAACAAGAGAAGGAGAAGAGAAAGGAAAACGGCAGAGAAGAGGGUGAAGAGCCAUUUUUUCUCAGCUCCCAUGACGAAGAUCGUGGUCCUGGUUUUAGUUUUUUCACUUUAUGGUGAUGGGAAUUACAGCACUCUGAUGAUGAUGACGACGAUUCAACUGGGUGGGGCAUAUGGGUAAACGUCAAUUCGAGAAAAGAGGCGAGUUUGAGAGUGAAUUUAGAUUUUCAGAAUCUUCUAGGGAAAUGGGUUGUUGGUUUGGUAGAUCUUCGAUUCUUUGGCGAUUCCAGUUCAGAGAGAAGCAUCCUUCGAAGAUCUGGGAUUCAAAACACACAGUAAAAAGAUCGAAAAAUGUGAAAUAUAAAAAGAUUGCGACCAAUACAAAAUAAAAGUGACUCGAUAACUAAUUAAUUUCUACACGCAAUUAACAGUAACCCAGUCAUCCACACACCAAAAAUAAAGCCAAGCACAUGCAGAAAGAAACUAAACAAGACAUAAUAAUAGUCACGAAUAACAGCAUAACAAGCAUGGAUCAUUAGAUUGCAAUACGAUCACAAAGGUCGUCAUGCUCUGCAGAAAAGGUCACAUGAAUAACUGCAUAACAAGUAUGAAGUAAACCAAUCGUAAUUGAAAACCUACCUUGUUGAAACGAAAUGAAGAGUCCCGUGGAAAUUUCGGAAGUUGCAAUCGUCCUCCUUGCAGUCAAAAUCAUAAGAAACCGGUACUUCGGGUCAGAAGUAGCAAUCAGGGUAUAGAUCGGCUCAAAUCGCAUCAGUUGAAGUCGAAGUGGUGGGUCGUCGAUUCUCUCUACGAUAAACAAAGAAAACGUGGCUUCACCUGGAUUUUCUCUCCGAUCGCUUAUCGAGACUAGUAAUUUGUCUCCGAUUGUUGCAGUCGAAAUCGUUUUUUCUCCGAUCGAGGGUUCGGCUGGAUUUUCGUCGUCGUUCAUCUCCAUGGGCUUCUACCGUGGGCCAAUUCAGUGACGUAACGGGCUGGGUCGGGUCGGUUUUGAAAACCGUCCAGACCCAAGAUCGAUUAUGUACGAGUCUACCACGGAUGCCGACCCAACCUGAGUCAAAUUUGACUUGGGUCGGGUCUUUUUUUAAAAAAAUAUUAUUAUUAUUUUUAGAGUACGGAGUGGAGUGAGCUAAUUUUAGUUGAAAAUUAAGAUUUGGAUUUCAAACAAAGGAAAUUGGUAUAGAUAGCAAAUUGAAUGACUUUAAAAAAUAUCGAAAAACUAAGAAUAGUAAGAAUUAUAGCAAAGUGUUUACACUACGAUUUCAUAAUACUAAUGGACCGUGAGAGAAUUGCAACUAUUUUACUUAAUCUUUUUUCUAUCAUUUUAAAAAUUAAGAUUUAGUUAGUAACAUAUAUCUUUUAUAUAUUUAUAUAAAAUAUGAUAUAUAUGUUAGGGAUAUUUUUUAAAAUAGUAAAGUAAAUUAAAAUAUUUACAAAUUAUAGCAAAAAUUUUAUGCUAUCAAUUAUAGAAAUUGAUAACGUUCUAUCAUUGUGUAUCAAUGAAUGCUGCUAUAGAAGGAUAUCCGUGUUUAUCAAAGUUUGUUAUUGAUAGAAUUUUAAAAUUUUGCUACAAGGUGACAAUUUCCUUUUAUUUAAAUUUGUUUGCACAAAUUUGUUAUCAACUAUCAAUUUUUUUAAAGAUCCUAUGUUUAACUCUUAUGGAUAUGCAAAUUUGUGAUAUCUCCGUUUACUAAUUUCAAUAAAAAUUUAAUUCUCCACAUGUAUCUAUUUAGAAAAUUUAAAAAAAAAAAUCACACCAUUUAUUUUAAAGAAAAACUACGAGAUUUAUCAUCGCAAGACAUGUUGUUUUCAUUUUCUUGAAAAAGGUAAGAAGAAAUUUAUGGAGACCAAAAAGAGUUGGGAUGAAAAGAGGAGGUUAUCUUUCAAUAGUGAGACAAGAAAUGUACCAUGGUAGCAAGAAUUAAUUGGUUGAGACUUUUUGUUAUAGUAGAGUUUUUGGGUUCACUAAUUUAUUAGCAUCUAAUGUAUCUUCACCGUACACCAAAUAUCACCAAGAGCUAAGCAAUUCAGUAAAGACAUCCAAGACGUUGAAAAUUUAUCAUGAUUGGUUUUGUUAAGACUAUCUUAGUUUGAAAACAAAUAAACCAAAAGCUACAAAUAGGAUUAUGCUCAAAUAUUUUGGGUGUGUACUUUGAGGUGGAGAUUUAGGGGAUUAGGAAAAGGGCUUUGGCCUGAAAUUUUUCUACUUUAUCUUCUCAGAACCUACAAACUUUUCUAUUUCAUCUUAUUAUAAUACUUUGAUAGGGAGGGGGCUUCGAGUUGUAACUUAGAGAAAAAAUAAAAAUCUGAAGAAAAAAAAACUACACAAGUAGGACUUAAUCUUUGUUUGGAUGAGGGUUGACAAACAUAGUUACCACAAACAUAGUUACCACAAACGUAGUAUUAAAUGGUUUUGUUUAUACAUAUUAUAUAAAGACAAUAAAGUUGAGGGGGGCUCGAGCCCCCCGGGCUUAUACUAAAUCCAUCGAUGAUCAUAACACUAGGAUUAUUAUAAUCCUUUUCUCCUAUAACUCUUUUCCUCCCCCAAACGCACCCUAAGAGUGAUUUUUUAAGCCAAUGUAGAGUCAUUCCAAACACAAAGGGAUUAUGAAACAAGUCAUUUUCCCAUUACUAUGAACUAACAAGUGUAUUUGGGAAGGAUAGAGCACCAAAAAAUUCAUAUGAGCCUUUAGUUGUGAUGGUGCCAACUUUUUUUCCUAGAAAUAAAGGAUGAGGUUCGACUAGGAUUACAAAAAUACCCCAACCUAAAUGAUGAACAAACCUCAUUACUUGAGGAUCCAAUGAAAAAUGAUUGGGUACACAUGUCCAUGGUGAGCAUCAGUGUAUUAGAUAUGUCUAUAGGUAGAGCAAGUGAGCAACGAAAUCAUCUAAAGGUAGUAAGAGGAAAUUACUAACAUUCCGAAAUGCAAUGAUUAACAUCGUGCAAUCAUUUGCAUUCAGCACACAUGGACAGACUUGUUGCAUGACAAACAUAGAAGUAUGAGUUGCUAGAAUUUUGACGUCAAAAGGAGGUAGUUGAUGUCAUAUUUCAUAUUGAAUGGAUGUUUGAGGAUGAUAAAUGUGAAGUAAUUGGUUUGAUUGGCUUGAACAUACGAAAGACAAACUUUUUCCUUGUUGUACUAGAAGAGAAUCGAAAACGAUACUGCAAUUUGCAUCUUGCUUGUUCAUUAUCAUGAACUCAUUCUAAUUAAGCUUUAAUAAUGUGACUAGAAUUGACAAUUAGGCUAGGAUCAUGCAAUAAAAGGUCCAUACUCCUAUCUAAGUAUUGCUAGUGAUAAGAAUUCAUCGUUUUGAGUACAUGAGUUUCAUAUUAAGUCCGGCGGCAAGAAUGUAUUGCUACAUUCUUUUCGCCAUCUAUUUAGUUAAAUCCUGAUCAUCAUGUUUCAAGUGACAAUAGUCAAUACUUUAUCAUUUCUCUCGAAUAGGAUAAGAUAUUGAUUGCUACAUUAACAUGACAAAUAAUGUCGACAUCUAGAUUCUCUAACAUUAACUACUCCUUACAUCAUUUACCCCUACUUAAACUUAAAUAAUUAUGAAAGACAAAGAAAUGCGAGAAUGAAAGUAGAAAUAAAUUGCAUUCAAACUUCUCUAGGCUUCUCGGCCAUAGAGUUCAAAUUACAAAAAAUUACAAAUGAAAUUACAAAAAUGUGUGUCAAGCCACUAAACAUGAUUUCUCAGACUCGUUGGCUCUGCUUUUUACCUAUACAUUGAGGGGAAGCGAAAUGGAGGAUCUUUCAUCUAUGUUCUAAGCUCUCACCUAAAACAGAGAAAGAAAAAAUGGAAGUUGGAAGUGAACUUGCUCUUCCGUAGAUUUUGCACAUUGUUCUUGAUGUUGCACUCUAUUUCUAGGUGAUGAUUGACAUGACAUAUCAUAGUCUGGGUUCCAUUAAUUCUUUGAAAAAGCUACUUUGCGCUAUAGAUGUCACAUUCAUCAUUGUCUAACAUUAGCACCAACUAUUUUGUCUUUUUAGUGAUGUAGAACGCCUAGCUUCCUUCUUUCAAUCGUUUUGUUGGUCGUCUUGUAUGCUUCUUCGUCUGAUGUUUGUCACUUGGCUACUCCUCUCUUUUUCAUCUUAUAAUAUUCUAUGUAUGCACAUGAAAAAUGCGAUAAACAAACAAAAGCUCUUUUAUAACUUGUAAUGUGUAACUAAGUUAUUUGAUCUAUUUAACUACUUGUUUUCUUCAUUUUUCAUUAUUCUACCUAAAAAGCUAUAAUUAAAAUUAUAUAUAUAAAAAUUCGACGUAAAUGAGGGUAAAAAGUGAUAGUUAGAUAGAAGGAAAAAUGAAAAUUUUAUUGCAACAUGACAUGUAUUUUUCGGUGAUAAACGUAUAACUGUUUUGCAAUUAUAUUGAAUGCUCAGAUCAUGAGUGUUCAAAAAAUGGAUGAAAAAAUUUGUGUUCUCUACGUGAAUAAUUAAGUUGAAAAGAAUUUUUUAUGUUUUAUAAAUUUAAACAAAUAAGAGGGUUUCUCUUUCUUUGUUUUUUUUUUCAUAAAAAAGUAGAGAAAUAGACGUUCGGGUUAAAGCCAAAAGAAUUUGUUUUUUGAUUUUUAGACACAACUCAAUUCAACAUCCCAAGUUCUAUAGAUAAUUUAACUUUCCAUACAAUAAUUAACGCAACGCUAUUGAUUUAUUGUGUGUCAAACGUUCCUUAAAUUUCAAAUCUAUUCUUAAUUUUCCUUAAUUCUUUAUGAUAUUUCUAUGAAUUUUGCAAGAACAAUAAGAAGGCUUUUUGGUGUGUAGUGUGCGUUAUUAUAGUCUAUGUUUAUGAUGCAAAAUAUUAUAAUUUGUAUUUGAACGGUAGAGUAUAGUUUAUAUACAUAAAUGAAUUCCUUUCCACCUGAAGAUCUUCCUUUCCACCUGAAGACACUUAACCUGAUUGAUUUAAGAUGUCUCGUGUUCUUUAAACUCUGAUCUUUGCAGUCAAUGGUGUUUUGGUUUAUUACAACGAAAACUUCUCCGUAAUUGUUCCAAAGUGUUGUAGAUAUUUUGGUCAAAACAUCUCAUUGUUGGACUUUUGAUCAGAGUCCACCAAAUGGACUUAGGCAUUCACCAACUCAAAGUCCUCACAUUUUGUCCAUUUGUGUUUCCAUCUUUUUCCAUUCACCUGUCAUUCUCAUACAUGCAUGUAUACAUGGUGAACACAUUAUGCAAAAUUAAAUAGCUUCGUCUCAUAUUAUUAAAAAAAAUGUAAAAACCUAAAUAUGAAGUUAAUUAGUUGAAUCAAACAUGUUCAUUACAAAAAAUGAAGUAUAAAUAUUUGAUAAACGUCUACUAUGUUUGUUAGAUGUAAAGCUAGAGGUCCUUUUAGUAUCCUUGCAAAAACUAAAAAAGAAAGCUAACUUAGAUCAAAUCUAGAAUCUCUGAUGGUUAUUCUUAGAUCCUAAGGCAACUCCCUCCGGGGUCAGCUUGAUCAAGACUAAGUGAAUGAAUUGUUUUUUAACAUAAAAUAUAAAACAAAAUUUGAAAAGAUAACACCAAAAGGGUUGAAUAAGCACAAACAUUUUAGUAUUGCUAUUCUCCCUUUUCAAGAGUAUUACAAAACCAUUUUAUAGGCUAAAUGGUCAUGCGUGGGGUGAAAGCCAAAAGUCACCCAAACACUUAAAUGUCAAUUGAAGAAAAUACAUGUAUGGGGUGGAAGCUUAAGUGUCAUCCAAAUACACUUAAAUGACAUUCGAAGAAAAUAAAGACAUAGGAACUUAAAACAAGAUUGCAUACUAAAUUAUAGAUCAAACUGAAAAACUAAAAAUGUAGAAUGUCUUCAAAACGCCUCAAAUAACUCCUUUAGAAGGCUGCAAAAUUGAUGUGUCCAUUUGACAUGGUUUGACAUCAUAUUUUCCCAUGUAGUGCACAACAAACAGCAACUUCUUCACAAAAUCUGCACAUUUUUUUGUCCUACAUGCCAUCUUUAAUUCAUUCUUAUCUCAACUCAUUGAACUAACAUUAUAUAUAAUUUGACUCAUUUUCAUCUUGAUAUUUUUUAUAGCUACCAUUGAUGAUAUUCUUCUAUUGCCAUCACUAAUAAUAUCUAUGAUGAUAGCAAUAGAAGGAUAUUACUGAUAGCAUUUAUAAGUAAUAUCUUUAAUAUGAUACUAUAUAUCAAUGAUAUCAAGGUAAGGUUACUAUAAAGUGAUAUUAUGGUUGCUUGUUCGUAAGAUAAAUUGAUAAAUAAAAGAGAUUAGAUUAGCAUCUUAUCGGUAAUAGCUUUGAAUCACUAAUAACAUAAUAUUCAUAUGAUAGCUUCUAUCGCUAAUAAUAUAAAUGAAAUUGAUGUAGUUGCAAUAUUUGUUGAAAUAAAUUAUUAAUUUUUAGGUUAUGUUAUCAAUAUUUAUAUGAAAUACAUAUUGAGGCAUUAGGCAUAUAUCAACAAGGAGGCUGAAAGGCAAAAUUGUUAGCUUGUGGUAUAGAUAAUAUUUAUUUUCUUCGAAAUUUCCAUUGAAAUUAGCGGAAGGGCCCUCCAUCCUAGAAGUGAGCCUACAGGUAGAGAACUCCUAUGGACUUCAUGGGCCGAGGGGAUUUGUUCAAUGAGGUUUGGCCCAGUCCAAUGAUGAGGCUGACUUUACAGUUUCCUGUUUCCACUGUACUUCACCACCUCUCUAUUCCUUCAUCCACAUUUGAGCUUUUUGCUCUCAUUUUUCUCUCUACCUCUCUCUCUCCCCCGCGUACAGGAGAGAGCAAAAUCAAUCAUCCAUGGCGAAGCUCACCUCUCUCCUCAUCUUCUUCUCUCUUCUCUCUCUCCUCUUGCUCUCUCUUUCACCCUCUUAUGUUCUUGCUGACUCCCACUUUGAAGGAUUCGAACCAGAACUCGACGACCUCGAAGAUGACGAUCUUUCACUUCCCCUCACCGAUCUCCCCCUCCGUCCUCCUCCUCUUACCCAGUCCGAGCCAGAACUCACCGGAAUUUCUUCUCUGGAUCAAGAUUCUGAUAAACCGGAUCCAGUGGGCGAGCCGUCGGAUCCUCAAUCUCCACCCUCUGUCUCCGAUUAUACGAAGCCGUCUCCAACUAGCUUCAAUUACUGGGAUGAGGACGAAUUUGAAGGUUUGCCGAUUGAGCAACCACAAGAACCGGUACAACAGAGCUCCAAAUCUACGGAGGAUUCAGCCUCCACCAAUCCGAACUCUGAUUCAAAACCUACCUCUCCGAUUCCCAAACCUACGAAUGCUCCGAAGUCGUAUACUGUUGAAAUUAUCUGUGGAUCUUUCUUGGUGAUUUUUGUGAUAAACUAUUUUACCGGAAAGCGCGAGAACGAGAACAUUGCUCUAUCUUGGGCUGCGAAAUUCGGGACCAAGGACUCCAUUUUUGAGAAGAACUUUAGUCUGCUGGGCGUGGGGGAAGGCGAAGACUCGCCUUUGCUGUUGAAAGAGGGACAGAAUGUCUUCAAAUUCUAUGCUAGUGGGCGAAGGUAUUGCCAGGGGCUUUUGGCGACAAUGGAGUUGAAGAGCCGACAUGAUUUGAUCUCGAGGUUGUAUAAUAUGGUGGUGCCAUGUAAGGAUGAAAUUAGCUUCGAAGUCUAUAUGAAUGAUGAUGCGAUGGAUCAUAUUAUCUUUGCCGUGGCGAAGAAGAAAGCUGCCAAAGGAAUGCAAAAGGAUUUGAGAGAUUUGCAAAGAUUUGCCGGGAUUUUGGCGCCUCCCAGAUGGGUUCCUGAAGAGUUGAGCGUAAUUUCUGAAUCGAAGGAAGUCGCUGCAGAUUUGAUCACAGAGGCCGUUCUUGACCAGGUUGGUAGAUUUUCGUUUCACUGUUUCAGAUAACUUCCUUUAUCUUAUUUCGUUUCGCUGUUUCAAAAACGUUUUGUUGAAUGGGUGUUUGCAAAAUCUUCUGAUGUCUGAUUUUUCAGUUAAAAAGGUUCAGAUAUGUUGUUUAUUUUCAUGAUAUUUAUUUAUUUUAUUUUAUUUUUUGCUAAUCGUUUAAACUUUAUAUUAUCUGGUGAUCUCGCGUUUAAAAUGUAAUCUUUCUGUUUACUUUUCAUAUAUGUUAGUUUUUGUAAGGAUCAAUUUAUAUUUACUUAUCUAAAAAAUUGUGAAAUUACUUAUGGUAUUAUACAACUGCAUGUUUGAUUAUUCACUCUGCAUAGUUGGGUUUGGACUGGGGCAUAUUUUCUUUUAAAUUAUAUUUCUUUGUGCAUUUGGAUUUUUUUUUUGGAGGUUUGCUUUCAUAACCCUUUCUGUAGCUUUGGAAGUUGAAACCAAUCACACUUUUCAAACAAGUUUUUAUAGUGCUUUCAAUCUAGUUGGUGCGUUCUUUGUAGGAAUUCUUAUGCUUAUGAAGAUUAGAACCAUCUGUUUUGGCAAUGCCUUUUCUCGACCUUGGUUGGGCAUCCUUUCAGUCAGUUUGGCCCUGAGUCAAGAGAUUGAGAAUGCCUUAGCUUAGGGGGUCCCUUUUUUUCUUAUUGGCUGAAAUUGGCGCUGAUUAUCUCUCAAUGAAACGUGUUUAUUCAUAAACAACCACAGCUAAAAGGACUUUGUUUGAGGUAUAGUGGACUUAGGGUUUUGAAGAAGUUUUGGCUCAAAUCAGACAUGAAAUUGCUACACAAGUUUCAUUUAGUUGUAGAUGGCUUUGUUAUUUUUUAGUGGUGAGGAUUGUUGCAGCUUUUAUUUCCCUAGGGUGUCUUGGAAACGUUUAUUUACUAAAGUACUGUGUACCAAGGAUUAUUUACUCUUGGAUCCGGACUCGUAUUUGCUUGGUUAGGUACUCAAUCCUAAUCAAUGUUUGGCUGAGAGUUAGGAUCCAUGCUAUGAGUGAUCUUAAAUGGGGGAACCUCUGCGGACGAUCCUUUUCUUGUUGGUGGUGGUUGUCCUAGGCAGUGUUUUUAAAUGCCCAUGGCGCACUAAGUCACAAUGAUGGCCGCCCUCUGGAACCUAAGCGCAAGUCACACAAAAAGGUGUGGGCUUUUUUUGUGAGGCACGUUACAUAUGAAAAUAUUACAUGAAAAAGAAAGGAUAUUUGAAGUGGAAUUAUGAAGAAAAAAGACCCCAAACACAAGAAUUUUUGCAUUUAGGCUUAGUAAACCUGAUUGCUUUAGUUAAUAAUGAAGGAAAACCCUUAAUUAUUACUAUUUUUUAAAAGUAAUGAUAAAGCCCCAAGGCCCAAGGCCCAAGGCUUUAAGCCUUGGGCGCUUCACAAAAGCCUAGGUUUGGCCCGAGAAGGCUUUUUAAAACACUGGUCCUAAGUAGGAUCAUUUUGAAAGGAGUGGCAUCUAAAGCUUUUAAAGGUUUUGAGAUUGGCACUGACAAUCUGACCCUCUAUCAUCUUGCGUUUGUUGGUGAUAUCAUUUUCUUUUGCUUCGAAAAUGAGGAGUCAUUUGAUAAUUUAGAGAAUUACUUGGUAUUUAUUGAAAUGAGUUCGAAUGUCAACUUCUAGGUUUAAAUUGUGGUCUUGAUAAGAUUCAUAGGUAGGCUGCUUUGGUAGGAUGUGAAGCUAGUUUGUUCCUUCAUAUCUUGGCCUCCCUCUUAGGCAUAAUCUGACUAAUGUUUUUUGGGAACCCAUGUUGUGGAUAAGAUUCAAAGAAGGAUGGCAACUUGGAAACAGAGCUUUUUCUCGACAGGGGGUCAUCUAACUCUCAUCCCGUCGAUUUUGAGUGGGAUUCCUUUCUACUUUCUUUCCCUCUUUUAAAUUUCAGUGUUCGUAAGUAAUGCCUGGAAGAAAUUGAUGAGGCUGGAUAGGCAGAGUGUUUGAAACUCAUGGAUUUUGGAGGAAUUACAGGAAAGCUGAGAGCAUGUAAGCAGACCCUUCUAGCUAAAUAACUGGCAGUUUUAACAAACUUGAUGCUCUUUAACGUGAAGUUAUUGCAAGUAAAUUUAGUCUGUUCCAUGAACUCUAAAUGGGGUUAGUGUUCUAGGUCUCCUUGGGGUCAUUUCAUUCCUUGCUGAAUUGGGGAGGGGAGAGAGAUGUUUUUAGGAAAGAUUAGUGAUUCGGUUACGACCCUUUUGCUUUGUUUUUCCUCAUAUUGGUCUUUUUUAAAGAAUGUAUCUUAGGCCAACAUUAUAGCUCAACCAUCCACCACUUUGGGGUUCUGUCAUUUCCUAUCUGAUAGGGAAAUAAGGGAUCCCCUUUCAUUCUUAGGAAGUUUCUGUGCUUUGUUGGGAGAAGGGUCAUUUGCUUUUGGAGCCCUAGUCUUUCAAAGAGCUGUUUCUGUCAUUCAUUUUUCCUUUUGUCUGGUUAACCCUUCUCCUUUGAGAGAUUUAGCUUUUUCCUUGAUAUGGAAAAUAAAAAUUCUCGAUAUGGUGAAGUUUUUGUUUGGUAGGUUCUUCACGUGGGGGUGAACAUCUUAGAUGGGGUGGUUAGCAAGAUGCCUAAUUUGAUUUGGGCAUGGUGUUAUAUUCUUUGUAGAAGGGUAACAAAGAACCUUGACCAUAUCCUUUGAAGUUGUGUCUUUGUCUAUGUGGUAUAAACUUCUUUAACGAGCUUGGUGAGUUGGCUAGACAUCUUGAUUGCAUACAGAUGAUCGAGGAAUUUCUUCUCCACCUUCCUUUAGUGAGAAAGGAAAGUUUUUUUUAAAAAAUUAAAAUUUUUAUGAUAUCAAACAACUUUCAUUGAGAAAGAAUGAAAGAAUACAAAAGGCAUACAAAAAAAUCUAGCUCGCCAAAACACCCUGACUGAUAAAAGGGGGGACCAACAAAGUAAAAUGUUACCGUUGGAGUAAUUACAAAAAUGCUUCGAAAUUGAAGCCUAAAGGUAAACAUGAAAUCUAGCCAAGACCAAAUCUCACUAUACUCCCUCUCUCUACCCCGAAAGAUCCAAUCAUUCUCUCCCCAAAUGUCCCAAAUAAUGGCACACACCCCGACCAUCCAUAAAAGUCCCCUUUGUCUGUGAAAGGUUGAUGGAGGAGGGACUUCCCGAUUGUCGCUCUGACACUCCGAGAGCCAGAAAAACUAACACCGAACUCUUGAAGGAAAGAACUCCACACUACUGCCCGCAUGUAAUGGCAUUCCCAAAACAAAUGAUCAAGUCUUCCUUUGCCUUCCGACAAAGCAUGCAACAAAAUGGCCCGACAAGCAAAGUCCUCCUCCUAACAAACCUAUCAACAGUGUUAACCCGACCAAGCAAGACUUGCCAAAUAAAGAACCUAACUUUCAUAGGAACCUUAGUCUUCCAGAUCACGUAAAAAACCGACUCCAUAGGGGGAGAGGGAUCUAACAAUAGACUAAACAAGGAUUUACACAUGUAACACCUACUAGGAUUAGGAUCCCAAAUACAAACAUCCCUUCUCCCAUCUUAAAGUUACACCCCUCAAACAAAUAAAGGAGAGAGGCCUCCUUUGUCGAUUCCCUAUUGGUCAAAUUAAGAUAGAAUACGAAGGAAAAAGACACAUGGGUUUCUCCAAACUAACCAGACAAUCUGAGACCAUACAAUUUCUGAAUGAGGAUAAAUGAUAAAGAUGCGGAAAUAAAGAGCAAAGUGUAUUCUCCCCUACCCACUGAUCCUCCCAAAAAUACGUGUCCUUAUCAUCCCCCACAAAGCAACGAGUAAACUGAGAGAAAGUAGAAAGCUCGAAGAAAAUAUCCGUUCAAGGAUUUUGGUGUGCCUUUAACGAGAAAGUAGAAAGCUUGAAGAAAAUAUCCGUUCAAGGACAGUAGUUCAACGAGUAAAUUGCGAGAAAGGAAAGUUUUUGGGACAAGUAGGGGUGUGCUAUUUUAUGGGGAUUUGGAGCGAGAGGAACAAUAGAAUCCUUUGAGGGAAUGAUUCUUUUUUAUGUUUUGUCCUUUGAUAGAUUUCAUGUUACUCUGUGGGCUUCGUGUACAAAGCUUCUCUAUAAUUGUGAGCCUUGAGCGCUUUUUUUUCCUUCUAGUCUUUACUUUUUGCCAUGCAACUUGCUGUCUGCAUUUCCCUAUUGAACGCCUACCUGCUCAGUUAACAUGUUACAGUCAGAACUUUUAUUAAAUAUCUUUAUUCCUUGCCGUGGAAUGUGGAAUUUUAAUUUUAAUUUUAAUUGAUUUCUGCAGGUUUUUGGUGAAAAAUCUUUUGAGAAAUUUGGGAAGUAUUUCAUCUCGAUGCACUUCUCGGAUCAGCAUUCGGGCAUGCACAAGAAGAUGCUGUUGUUCAAGUUUGCCCUCCCAGAUGCCAACAACAUGGCAGAUAUUUCUCGUCUAGUAGCCCUUGUGCCCUAUUACAUUGACACUGUUGGACGCUACAAGCUCAGUUCACAGGUAAACUUCAUACACAAGACACACACACAUAUUACUUCGCUCAGAACUUUCUAAAUUCUAAUUGUUGGUGAUGCAGGCCCGCUCGAAAACUGAAGCUGCCAGGUCGAAGGCUGCUCAAGAGGCACACAGAGAGCUUCAAAAUGCAAGGCAAGAAGCACUGCAGAAGAGGAAGGCAGAGAAGAAGAAACUGAUGGAAGAAGCUGAAGCCAAAUUAAGUGCUGAGGCUCUUCGACGGAAAGAGGCGAAAGACCGUGCCAAGCAGAUGAAGAAAGCAAUGCCAAAGAUAAAGAUGAGCCGCACACGUUAGGGACUCAAUUUUUGUCCGAUGCAUCAACCAUGAGUGGCAAAGCAAACUUGCCUCUUCUUCAUCUAGUUUUCUAAGCUCGUUUAAGAGCUCAACAAGGGUUCCUGGUUUCAUUGCAAAUUUUGAUGAUCAGGGUAGUGGACCGUGUACUUUUAGAUUGCAUUACACUAGCUCGUCAUCCCAUAAUAACAGUACUAUAGAAACUAGCUUUCGUUUUUUUUGCUAAAUUAAUUCCCUUUUUUUUCUCUAUUUUAGUUCUCUACCUUUGGUGGCCUUUUAGUCAUUGAGAACGAUCUGGUUGCAUAGGACUUUUACUGAAGUGUAAUGUUGAAGUCUUACUCCAAUGGUGAAUUAUAGACCUCUUUUGAGACGAUCAGAUGGUUUGUUUUCUUUUUACAAGUUUUGUCAAAGGGAUGAAUAGAAUCAAUUUUGCUCUUUUAAGGUAUUGCUUGGUGUUGGGACUAGGAUUUAUUGAUGCGGUCAACACAAGCAUAUUACUGUCCAUAUUAAUUCAUUACACCAAACUUCCAACUAUGAACUACAAAGAUGUAGUAUAGCUUUAAGUUUGAGGUCGAAUUCAAGAGCAUUGAAUUAAGUGCUUUUGUCUACAAUAAAAUUUUUUAUUUAUAAAGGGAGUUUUGUAAAGCUGAUAUUGUAAGAAAAUAUAUGUACAAGAAAAUGAACUUGUUUUUGGUUUAUGAAUUGAUAUUUAGAACGCCCAAAGAAUUAAAGAUUUUCUCUCAAUAGAAUGAUUGAGAAUGAGAAACUUAGGUAACUUUCUAUCAUUCAAUGAAAUCAAGAAAAUGUAAAAACAAUUGCAACCGACAGCAAACUAGAGGAUUAAAUACUAAUUACCCUAAAUUCAUGAACAGGAAUUACUUCACAUUCAAUCUAAAUUCUUUCUAUGCAUUUUCAUCUAAGUAAUUUUCAUGCAUAUUCUAAUUUUUCUUUAAAUUCUUAGGAUCAAUGUGAUAAUUUCAUGCACGGAAUGCCUACAUAAAAUAAUAUUGGUACUAGUUUAAUUCAACUAGAUAAUUCUAGAAAAAAAUUGAAAGAGAAAUGUUUAAAAUCAAUUCAAGAUUCACAAGUUUUUCAACUUAAUCUAAAGAAUUGUGCUUAGCAUCAUUAAAUUUAAACAAGAAUUCAAGUUCAAUGAUUGAACUUUGUCAUUUAGACAAAAAAAUCAAUACAAGAUCGAGCAUGAAAUUCAAAACAAGAUUUGCAAUCGUUCAUCAUUCAAAGUGAAAGUUCUCAAGAUAAUACAUCUAAAAUCUUAUUCCCAAUAAAAAAUACCUCUAGUUCUUUAUCUUUCUAGUUAAAACUUCAAGAAAUUUGAUGAACGUCGAAGUAAUCUUCAAAGAGAUUGUAGUAUUUAAUUCAUCUGAUGCAAUUUCUAAAUAUGUAACGUUGCAACACUAUGGUUACUAAAACCUUUUCUUCAUUUUUGCUCUAAUUUGCUUGCUUUUCUCGUGAUUUAGCUUGUUUUGCAUCGUAAUCAUUCAGGUAGCCUAGGAUGCUUAUUAUUAUUAUUAUUUUUAUAAAAAUAGUAGAAUAAACAUUAAAUUCAUGAGAAUUAUUGGGCUUAGGAAAGUAGUGCUUUUUUUAGCAAUGUCAAAGGUCAUACUUAUGUUUAAAAGCAUGUAAGAUAAGUGUUGUAGUAAGUAAACUCUUGAAGUUGAUAAAAGUUAAGCUUAUUCAUAUUGUGGUUUUCAUCACAUAGUUAAGACGUAUAAUGGAAUGUGGGUUCAAUAUUUAAGUUGCAUUGACUCUUUGAUGUGCCUUGCAGCCUCAUGACAUAAUGAAUUAAAAUUGAUAAAGGUAUUAAAAGUGUAAAAUGUCAAGCCAAGCAUAGAGUUAGUCAAAUUCACCCUAAGCAUUGAGUGUCAAUACACCAAAGAAUAUUGGACACUUCACUCUCCAGUCGCAUUCUCUCUCGAGCUGGGUCAGUAAAAUGGGAGGAGAUGUGUAAACCCUAUACUUUAGGAUCUCUAAGUCUGUUAAAAGUUCUUGUAGUAGCCUGGGUGAAAGAAGUUAAGGAGAAAUCUUAUUAGAAGUGUUAUCAAUAAGUGAUAUUAUUGAGGUUUCAUGGUUUAAGUGACGUAGGUGUCAUGGCAUGCAAAUAUGUAGGUUUUACAAGCAGAAGGUGUGGAGAGAAAACCAUGCAAAUAGAAGGAGUCAAAAUAUUUCCAUGCAAGGUUCACAAUAAAUAGGGUAACUUCAAGUGGUUAGAAUUUUCAUUUUCCUUGUGCAAAUUUACACAAAACAAUCACAAAAAAACCUUGAGUGGGUUCAUUUGUUAAGGCAGGGUUUCCAAACUAAAAAGAGUUGAGGAAGAAGUUCAACUUCUGAGCUAAAGCACCAGAGGUCACUUUUAGACAAGUUUGAGCAGUGUUAGGUUCUUGAGGGGCUAUAGAAUAACACAUUACUUGGAAUCUUAAACUGAAAUUUGGAGGUUGGAUAUUUAAGACAAUUCUAAAAAACUUUGUAGAAGGAAGUUUCUUUUUUGAGAUAUGAAUUUUAAAGUUAUUGACUUUCAAAGUUGGGUUUAGGUUCUACACGAAAAAAGAAAAUCUAGGCAGAGUUGAAGGUUGGCCGAGUGGCAAGAAAGACAAGGCGAGCUGGAUGUUUAAGAUAGGAAAAAGAGGUUAGUAUGGACUUUGGAGCAAGCGAGUAACAAGGCAAGAGCACAGCUAGGCGACGUGAGGUACGCGUCUAGGCCAUGCAACAUGCCUUGUGUGCGUGGAUGCACGUAACACACAAGGUGUGCGACCAUGGGGAACACAACAAGCCCAGGUGUGAGGCUAGCACGAGGUCAAGCUACUCAUUGUCCCAUGCAAGUGCUGAUAACGUGUAUAAACACUCGUUAUUAUAGCCUCUUGUAUUAGAAUAAUGAGAUCAAAACGCAUUCUUUUUACAUUUGGAAAUAAGAUGUAAAAUUAAAUACAAAGAAAAAAAGGACAAGAAAUUCACUUGGCAACAACACUGGUUUUCACUUCAUCAGAAGGUUGAAUAUAUUUCCAACAAAAUCCAAGAGUGCUCCCCAUCAUGUUCAUUAUCACAGCUGAAAUUGCUGGAGGCAAUGCCACCAUUGCUGAACUAAAAUGUGAGGCUGCCAAAACAACUCCCAGUGAUGAAUUCUGCAUCCCAACCUGAAGCCAAAAUCCACACCCUCUCAUUCAUAUAUCUAUGUUUUUCAAUUUCUCGAUAAGUGAAUGUCGUUUUGUUACCUGCAUGGAUAUAGUUCUUCGUUCUCGUUCUCGAAACCCACAGAUAGCAGCUGCUAUAUACCUGCAAAUCAGAGGAAGCUCGUAAGGGUGUGUAGUGAGCCAAUUGACUAAUUUCAUCUUUUAUAACAAUAUUUGACUUCAUAUUCUUCUUGCAAACAAGGAUCAGUAUCUACAACAUAUGAGAAGAUUCUGUUUUGGGAGAAAACGCAAAAUUUCAUCCAUCUUAUGUAGUUCAUCAGUGACUAAGUAUUCAUUUUGGUUCAUUACUUUCAGUAACAUCUCAAAUGAUUUAUAUUGUAAACAAUUUGUUUAGCUUCUGCAUUCGAGCAACUAAGUCCAUUGAGGUGAGGAAAGAGAUGCAACUUACCCGACGAAGAAACCAGCAAAGUGUAAACAAAACACCGAAAGUAUUACUACUCCCAGCUCUCCUGAUAAUAUACUUUUAAGGACUGUCCAUAGAGAUGCAUCAGAGGCCAAUGUGGCACUAACCAUUGACGAUUUGAUACGAAUGACAUUCUCUGAGAAGACACUAAUCAUAAAAAAAAAUAAUCAAAGGUGUGUGAGAGCGAAAAACAGUAAAAGGCUUUUCAUCAAGUUUCCAUGGUAAGCACAACUUAUUGAAGCCAAAAAAAAGAAAAAGAAAACAAUUGUUGAAGAACCGAGACCUGCUAGCAAGCAGCGAGGAAGUUAAAACAGCAACAAGUGGUGCAAAUGGUAACACCAAUUUCACCAGGGAAGGAAAUGCCUUUUGCAAGCAAGAACCUAACAGGAUAGGAGCUACCACCACCUAACCAAAAAACAAGACGAUGGCGAUGACUUAAGAACAUGACUAUGGCUGGAAGGCAAAUGAGGACAUAACUUUACCUGAAGGGUGCUGAGAGAAAGCUGUGCAGCGUCGACUGGAAUAUAAGCUCCUACUAGAAACUUUGUCAGAAAAGGAGUGAAAAUUACGGCUCCUAAAGUUGUGCAUACUGUCAUUACAAUAGACAAAGGAACGUCGCCUUGAGCAAUUAAGGUUACCUGAAAUACUAUUUCAUUGAAGUAACCGUGAACGGAAAACUUAAUCAAUCAACUUAUUGUGAUCAAGGCUGUAAAGUAGGAAAUGCAGUUCAACUGUUGAUGAUUGCAUUCAUAAAGUUUUCCAUAAUGCUUAACUAAGACGACUACUUUGAACACAAAAAUGUGUUACUCAGCCUUAUGGAUGAAAACUCUGUUAAGAAACAUCCAUCUCUCAAAUCGAGUACAAAGAUGCAAUAAAUAAAUUAAUUAGCAGUCAAAUAUCAAGAUGAUUAAUCACCAAUUUCAACUGUAAUAACAACAGCAACAACAAAACUGAGCUAUAUAUUCUUAAUCCAACAUUCGUGUAUAAUUUUUUUGAAUAAACUUUUAGAACAUUUAUAAGCAUCAUCUUCUGGGAAGAAUUUUCAUUAAUUAAGAACAAUACAAUCCUAUUUCUAUCUUUGCGACUAUGAUGUCCGGUAUUAGUUUCUUUCCGUUUUUGUUCUUUUUAAGUUUUUUAUUGACCAUCUGAAUUUUGUUUUAUGUUUUUAGAUUUACUAAGUUCAACAUUUUUUUUAACACUGUUCUUGAAUUAUGUGAUCCAAGAAGAACAUAUUCUGAAAAAACAUUUUUAUGUUUGUAUUGUAUCGAGAUUUUGAAUUCUAAAUUUUAAAAUACAGGAUUAUCUUUUGAACAUUAUUUUAUUUCCUAGUAGGUUGCGGCUCUUCACUCUCUACUCUUUUUUUUUUUUUUUUUUUGCCGUUUUUAGGAGAGAAACAAAAGUUAUAAGAAAUUAAACAGAACAAAUAAGAAAACAGAGAUCAUAGGCAUUAUUACCACAUUGGAAGCAGAUCCUCCAGGACAACAUCCAAGCAAGACCAAACCGAACAAAAGGGACUGGGAAAGUCCCAAAAGUUUUCCGAUCAGCACUGCAGAAGCUGGCAUAAUCGUGUACUGAGCUACACAUCCAAACAAUAUCUAAAACAAAGCAACAGAGUCAAAACCAUCAAGCAUUACCACAAACCCCCGGUUCCAUCCCAUCAAAUCAAAUCAAUAACCAAAAUACACACAAUGUAAACAAAUUCAGAUUCCAAAAACUCACCGAAAGAGGUCUUUGCAUGAACAAAUUAAAUAAAUCCUUGAUCUCUAGAGUAAGCCCCAUGGCCAACAUUAUCAAACCAAGAGAUAAGCUAUAGGAACUCGGCCCUCUCUGCACAAACCACGAGAAGGUCGAGGGUUCGAGGCAAGCAACAAUCCCGCCUGCCGUCACAUAGAGAGGGUAGAGACUAGCCGCCGUGGAAAGAAAAUCGUCCAAACCAGUGGGUUUUGGCGGUGGCGAGGGAGAUGGGUGUUCGUUAUUUUGUUGAACCGAUCGGACGGUGAGUGAUCUGGGCGGCGAGAGAGGGGGAAUUGGGGGUCGGUGAAGGCGGAGAUUAGGGCGGUGGAUUAGUGGAGAAAUGAAGGGGGUGAGUUGCAGAGAAAUCGGAGGCAUUGUGCAGAAUUCUGUGGCUCCGAUUAGUGAAGAAAAGAAGGGGAAUUGAAGGAGAUGAUAGAAAUUGGGUGAAGUGAUGCAUACAAACACGGGUUGUAUUUUGUGAAACGACAAGAUUGUGUUGGGAGAUUAUUAGGAAGCAAGAGAUCGCUAUCAACAAAUUAGUAGAAAUAUUGGUCCAAAGCAAGAGGUUGGAAUUUGAUAGUUUUUCUAACAACAUUUUUUUUCAUCUUUGAGUUCAUUCGUUUUCUAUCACAUGAAGGCUUUGGACAAUUAGUUAAACAAAUUCAUUGCAUAUUGAAAUUUGUUCGUCAGUAAUUCCUCUAUUUUAGAUGGCUUGUGAUCUAUAUGUGUGUGUUUAAUUUUGAAUCUAAUUUUGUUUUCUUUUUAGGACUUCUCUUUGUUUUAUCCUAAAACGAGAGAUAAUGAUGGUGGAAGACUAUGAGGGAGAAACACAGUCUGCAUUUGCCAAUGUAUAAUAAGGUAACUGAAGAUAUGAUUAUUCAAAGUAGACAAAUAUAUAUAUAUAUAUAUGUAUAUAUAAUCAAAUUUUGAAAACAUAUUAGUAAAACACACUCGCCCAGAAAUCAAAGAUCCAAGGGGAGUUUUCUGUUUCCUUUAUUUUGUUCUCGUGUUCUUGUUUUAAAUCUAAUACUUCAGGGACAAAAGCAUGCUUCUAAAGUUGAGUGGUUUGGUUUAGAUUGUUUGCACAAUUUUUGUGUAUUUUUUACCAAAAUUUAAAAAAUUUCGCUUCUCAUAUGCUAAAUUGAGUCUUGCUUGUAUAUUGAUUCAUGCAUGGAUAACCCUUGAGCAUCCCAACUUUGUUUUAUGGUUUUAAUGAUGAUGGAAUGCAUGAAUUGAAUGUAUAUUGAUUCAUUCUUGUUUCCUGAACUAACUAGUUGGUUAUUUGUUCUAUGGUAGAAAGAAUGCAAUAAAAUAUUUUAAUUCCGACUUUAAUUUGAUUGAGAUCAGGACUCUAUUACUUUUAUUGUGCUAAUAUCUUUUUUAAUUACACAAAACCAUUUACUUGCUUUCUCUCUUUUACUUUUUUGCAUUGUCACCACAAAAAACCCAUCUGCACAUCUGAUUAUAUUCUUGAUCUCUUAUUAAAUAUGUACAUGUGUAUUUCCUUAACAUAGAUCCUUUUGGGUUUUACCAUGAACUUACUUUUUGCUACAUUUUUACUAGCUUCUUGGGUUAUGAUUAACUUUGCAUAUUUCUUAAUUAUCUUUUAAUAACACUCCUAUUAACCUUUUGAAUCAAUGGAACACAAGAUAUAUCUAUAACGAGAAGAGUAUAUGUACAAUCAUGAUUAGCCUACUUGAUUAGUGUGUUAGUUUCUUCUACCAUCAAACACAAAUCUCAGUAUGAAUUAGCUAAAUUAAAUACUAGUAAUAAGUUUGCAUGUGAUUUUUGGUUAUAUAAUACACGAUUUGAUUGUGUAAUUUGGAUGAUAUGGAACUUGUUGGAUUUUUGAGAUCAAAAAAUACUUGUGUGUUCAUAGACUCAUUUUCUCUGGAAGACUCAAAAACCAAUUUGCAAACUUGAUUUCAUCCCAUUUCAUGAAGAAUUGAGGGAGAGAAUUUCGAGCUUCAAAGAUAAGCAAUCAAAAUUUUAUUUUCUUAAAUUUUUCCUACCAUGCUUAAUCUUCAAAAUUCGAGUUUUUUAAUUUGAUUCUCUUAUGCUAGCGGGUUAAUUUAACUUUCAAUCUAAUUAAACCCAAACUUCUUCUUCUCUCUCAUCCAAAGAAACCUACUUAGAACAAAAAAAGGAAAUCGAAGGGGAGGGAAAAAAAGGACUUCUUGGAGGAGGAGGAAAAUUAAAGAAGAUUGAGUGAGAAGAAGACUCGCCUAGUGGGUAUAGAUUUGGAGAGAAGAAAAACGGGUUAAUUUUUAAUUUACACUUAUCGUCACUUUUCACCUGACCCACACGAGACCCAAAUCGAGUUGGGUUAGAUAUGUCAUUAUCGGUACAAAACUUAUCUAGAUCAAAUCGGGUCGAUUUAGUUGAAAACUAGACCCAACCAAAAUCGUUUGCACCUAUAUAAUCGUGUGUCAAGUUUACCAACAUCACUAUAAACGAGUGCAUACAAGAUCGACAAGUAUAUCAAUAUAUGAGUGAAGUACAUAAGUAUAUCAAAUGUAUCAAGUGUUAUUUGUUUUUAUGAAUGGUUUGAGCAUUUGCGACAUUUUAAAUUUUUAUAUGCAAGUUGAGCUCUUUUUUCUUCUUUUAUCAUUUUUAAAAACAAAGCAGGUAUAAUUAUGAUUAACUUUUCUUAUUUUCUUACCAACAUUUUUUAUUAUAAUCCACAAACUAUAAUAAUCAAUUGGUGGAUCCAAGAACUCCAAACACUUCCUUAAGCCUUAUUGAAAGUUCAUGAACCAAAAUUAGAAGAGAAAGAAGAAACGAAAAAACAAGGGAGAGAUGUAAUUAGAUGAGAAAGGAGAGGCCUGCAGUUUUGUAGCCAUGGAUGUCAGUUCCAGCCCACCCUGAUGAAUGAAAACAGCCGUCAAAUUAUGAUCAUCAAUCAGAUCAAUGUCCGAUGUAAAGCCCUACCUUUCAACUUGCUUUUUGUAGAAGCCUAUAAGUUAAAGCUUUUAGUAAGGGCUGGGUUUCCCUUCCUCAAAUUGGUAUGUCAAGUUUUUUAUUCCAACUUGAUUUAAUAAUUGAAUUCUUGUUUUUAGUGAGCAGAAGGCUCAAUAUUUCUCCAAAAAGAUCCAAGACUGCUUCCCAUCAUGUUCAUUAUCACAGCUGACAUUGCUGCUGGCAAUGCCACCAUUGCUGAACUGAAAUGUGCUGUUGCCAAAACUACUCCCAAUGAUGAAUUCUGCAUCCCUACCUGAUCAUUUUUCAUUUCAUAUUUUCUAUUUUAAUUUCAAUUCUUUUAUCCAAAAAGAAUAAAAUAAAGAAGGAAUAUAAUGUCAUUUGAGUUCUUAUUCAUAUACCUCAAGGGAUAUAGCUCUUCGUUCUCGUUCUCGAAACCCUCCGAUGGCGGCUAUCGUGUAGCUGUAAAAAGAGGGAAAAAUGAGAUAAACACACGGUUGCUAAUAUGUCAAUUCAUUGUUUACGAUAUUAGCAUUGAUUUUCAAUUGACGGGGGCUCCAUAUUAUGUAUAUAGCUUAAUCAUUACUCUAGAUAGGGUGAACUAUUUUUUUGGCCGAUCUAAUGAUAUAGCUUGAAUUGUGUUUCCCAAGUGGCCUAUAAGUUUAGUUCUAGAACUUAACUAGGAUCUUAUUCCUCUUCUUGAAUCACACUUGGAACUCUGAAUUUAAUUUUCAAUCAAAUCUUUAGUUUUGAUCAAUGUUACGUCGAAAAAAAAUAUAACUGACGUUUGAAUUAACAUGAGAGCCGUAAUUGAUGAACUAAGAUCGUAGAUGAUAUAUGAAUGAAACAAAUUCUAAUUUAAAAUAUGUACAUAUAUGUUAAAAAAUCUACUUAUAAAGGUAUAUUACUCUUCAUACUAACGAUAUGUGUAAUUAGUUUCUGUUUGAUAGCACAAUUACAAAAUUAAAUUACUGCUUCAAAGGUGAAUAAAGUGAUAUUUUAAAUUUUACCAAAAUUAAGUCAUUUUUAUUUAACUUCUUACAAUAAAAACAAAAUUCAGAACUAAUUUUGAAAAUAUUUCAAAAACUAUUUGGAGUGUGUCAACCCUUCAAUGCUUUUUCAAAAUGAUCUAUUUGCAAAAUUUACAUUUCAAAAGUUAAACGAAACUCAUAAUAAAUAUGGAUUUAUUUCACAUAUAAGCUUGACUAUUUUUCUGCUUAAUUCCCAUUUUACUCUCCUUUGAUGAGUACAAGUUUCAACUAGCUAGUUAAUUGAUCUCUCCAACUAUACAAGUCAUCUUACAAUUGUUAGGUCUUCUAAGCAUUCACACAGCCAAAUUCAUGUGCGGACAAAGAGAGAAAGAGAUGGUGACGACUUACCCCACGACGAAACCAGCAAGGUGUAAUGAAAACACUGCAAGUAUUACAAUUCCCAGCUCUUCAGACAACAUCGUUUUUAUGGCAAUCCAUGGAGAUGCGUCGAAGCUCAACGAUGAACUAACAAGUGACGAUUUGAAACGAACUAUAUUUUCUGAGAAGACACUGAUGAAAAAUAAAACAAGGAUAAUUAAUGAAAAAAAGUGCACAAACAAUUUUAAAAAAUGAUAAAAAAUUUAAGAGAAAAAGAAAACCUGCAAGCAAGGAGUGAGGAAGUUAAUACUGCAAAAAGUGGUGAAAAUGGUAUGAUUCUUUUCACCACCCCAGGGCAAGUUUUCUGUAAGUAAGAACCUAUCAAAAUAGGAACUACCACCACCUGUCAAGAAAGAGUUAAAACUAUAUAAAAUCAGUUGACGGUAGUUUGACAUUCUGUAUAGAAUAAGUUUUCGUAAAAGUAGUUUUAUAAUUUGUUUGACCUGAAGAGUACUGAGCGAGAGCUUUAUAGCGUCGACGGGAAUGGAAGCACCGACCAAUGUUCUAGUGAGAAAGGGAGUGAGAACUACAGCUUGGAGAGUGGUGCAUACUGUCAUUAUAAUAGACAAAGGAACAUCCCCUCUAGCAAUUAAAGUUACCUGAAAUAUGAUUUACUUUAACCCUUUAAAAUUAAUUUAAUAUUUUAGCUUACACACCACAACUUAUCUAUGAUAAAAUUUAUUCGUGAUAGACUUCUCGGUUGCUUAUAUGGUUUUUAGUGAUUACUACUACAAAUUUGACCUUCUUUGAUAUAUGCAAAAUACGUCAAAAAAUGUCUACUACAAAUUUGGUCUUCUUUGAUAUGCAAAACACAUAAAAAAAAUGUGUACCGUAGGCAGAUAUCAAGAAAGCCUGAUCAUCAAGAAAACUAGUUUAACAUGUAAUAAAAACUUAUUCUUUUUUUCUCACACCCACCUUAGGUGAGAAUUGUCCCUAACAAUUGUAACAUUGAUGACCAAAUUUAUAAACCGCUUCUACAAAUUUUUAAUACAGGUGUGGGAAUUUGUACCCGACACUUCUUGUCCAUAGAUAUAUACAUGUGUCAGUAGAGCUAAGCUUAUAUUCUACAACUUAUACAAAUUUUAAAAACUCUAAAUUACAAAUUUUUAAUUCAACUCAUUAAAGUUGAACACACAGUGACUAAUUUAGUUUUCAUAAAGUUACUUAUUUCAAUCUAAUUAUGAUUACAACAGUUAACUUUUAAAAAAGUAAUAUUAUAUUAUAAAUGUAUAGACAUUAAUAAUUGAAAAAAAAAUAGUAAAGCUUUAAGAAUACUAUUGAUGAAUAUUGUGUUUUCUGAGUCCAUUAUCGAAGGUCCGAAUUUCGUGCUUACUAAAAAAUAGUAUUUCGUGCUUACUAAAAAAUAGUUUUUUCAUGAUGGACAAUGCCUAUCAAAAUAUCAUUUUUUAUGAGUCUUGCCCACGAUCUUAUCCUAAAUUCAGAAUUAAAAUUUUUUAAUUGAUGGACAAUGUCCAUCAAGAUAUCAUUUAAUUUUCUUGAUGGACUUUGCCCAUCAUUUUUUUUUUGUCUUUGUCCAUCAAGAAACCCUAGACCCAUCAAAAAAA